UUUUUUUUUUUUUUUUUUUUUUUUUUUUUUUUUUUUCUC
rnacentral:ribozyme from 1 species